rnacentral:ncRNA from 2 species
CGGCGCACCUCGGGGAGCCAAUGGCUGAGAUGCGCAUCGCGCGGACCCGUUGAACCUGAACCGGAUCACACCGGCGGAGGGAAGGUAGCGGACCGAUGU